rnacentral:lncRNA from 1 species
GUUGGCUUUCCCCAGUGUUUCAAAGCAACCACAGCAGACCAUCUCUCCAGCAAAGGCUCAGCUCUGCCAGCAGGGACCCCCAAUAUGAAAGGGAACGUGGGGCUUACAGGGACCCUUCCACCUCCAACAAGGGAACUGGGGCUGAGGGAUGUUGGGAAAGACCGGGAACCAACCUUCAGCCCUGUACCCAGCUCUGCAGGCUCCUGCUCUGCGCUCAGCAUGCUCCUCCCUGGUGGACCCCGGCCCUCUGAGGAAUCGCUCUGGAGCUCGAGGCCAGCCUACAGGGAGAGGUGAUACGGCUGUGCCGCUGCCUCCUCUUGUGCCAGGGCUCCUCCCACUGGUCUCCCAUCCCUGGUAGGAAAUGGAGUCAAAGGUCUCCGAAGGCGGCCUGAACGUCACCCUCACCAUCCGGCUGCUGAUGCACGGCAAGGUAAAGGCUCCUGGCAGGGCUACACCCCUCUCCCUUUCCUGCUUGGGUUAUAUUCAUGUCUUGCAACAUCAUUUAUU